GUAUGUUUAUUACGCUGUCGUACAAUGUACGGAGCUGCGAGAGAAACUGUCGGGGCUAAAGAUUAUGGUGCAAUAAGCAACGCUACCGAUUUGGCAUAUACCAAAUGACCACACAUUUUGCAAAUAGCUAACUGCAAUCUCAAGGAGGUGUUUAUACAUUUCGUGCCUUACCUUUUGAGUGCACUUGGAAUGAAAUAUUCUGGGGAUGCGUGUGACGUAUUAUUAGCCGUUUUUAAACACAGCUGAAUAUGUGGCUUGUUUUGCAGGCAAUCACAGGGCCUCGGCUUCAAUUUUUUGAUGUGGUUGCCAGCUGGCCCGGCUCGGCACAUGACAGCCGAAUUUUCGAUAAUAGUCGAGCCAGAGUGCAGUACGAAGAAGGGAAUGUCCCUGGCAUCCUACUUGGUGACAAGGGGUACCCCUGCAGAUCCUAUCUCAUGACCCCUUUUCGAGAGACACAAAGCAGCCCUCAGCACAGGUACAACAAGUGCCACUCCAGGACUCGCUGCAGUGUUGAGAGGGCGUUUGGAGUAUGGAAACGAAGGUUUCCUUGCCUUGAAAUGACUCUUCAGAUAAAAACAAGAUCAGUUCCCAUCGUCAUCACAGCUUGUGCUGCACUACACAACUUCGGCCACCUGCUGAGAGACCCUGUCCCACCUCCUGCGCAAUGCCAGGCAACACACAACGCCGCUUCGCAAGCUCCCACUCCCUCCUUUCAACCAACGCCACCAGGCAUGUCUCCGUUGCCAGACACAGCAAGUGGUUUCAGGAUCAGAGAUCGCAUAGUCGCACAGUAUUUUACGUAAAUGGAAUGAGACAAAAUCACAGCAAUAACAAAGGCGUUUACUUUUUCUUCAAAGCUUCUAGCUGAAGCUUUAGAAUUUCUGCUUUUGUUUUUUGGUUGGCUUCUUUAAGCCGAAGAAGCUGCAUAGUUUGCUCAUGUUCAGCUCGCCUAUGCAAAGAUUUGUAUUUGUGCUCGAGGCGCAUGUAUUUCGUUUUCAAUAAAUGUUCCUUUUUUUUUUCUUCA
rnacentral:lncRNA from 1 species